rnacentral:rRNA from 1 species
UACGUAGGGGGCAAGCGUUGUCCGGAAUUACUGGGUGUAAAGGGCGUGUAGGCGGGGUAUUAAGUCAGAUGUGAAAGGCGCAGGCUCAACUUGCGAACUGCAUCUGAAACUAAUACUCUUGAGUGUAGGAGGGGAAAGCGGAAUUCCCAGUGUAGCAGUGAAAUGCGUAGAGAUUGGGAGGAACACCAGUGGCGAAGGCGGCUUUCUGGACUGUAACUGACGCUGAGGCGCG